UACGUAGGGAGCAAGCGUUGUCCGGAAUCAUUGGGCGUAAAGCGCGCGUAGGUGGCCCAGUAAGUCCGUUCUGAAAGUCACAGGCUCAACCUGUGAAAGCGGAUGGAUACUGCUGGGCUAGAGUCCGGAAGAGGCGAGUGGAAUUCCUGGUGUAGCGGUGGAAUGCGCAGAUAUCAGGAGGAACACCAACGGCGAAGGCAGCUCGCUGGGUCGACACUGACGCUCAGGCACGAAAGCGUGGGGAGCAAACAGG
rnacentral:rRNA from 1 species